GUGAGGAAUAUUGGUCAAUGGACGAGAGUCUGAACCAGCCAAGUCGCGUGAAGGAAGACGGUUCUAUGAAUUGUAAACUUCUUUUGUGCAGGAAUACAGUGGGUUACGUGUAACCUUUUGUAUGUACUGUACGAAUAAGGAUCGGCUAACUCCGUGCCAGCAGCCGCGGUAAUACGGAGGAUCCGAGCGUUAUCCGGAUUUAUUGGGUUUAAAGGGUGCGUAGGUGGAUUGAUAAGUCAGCGGUGGAAGUUUGCAGAUUAACUGUAAAAUUGCCGUUGAGACUGUCGGUCUUGAGUGCAAAUGAGGUAGGCGGAAUGUGUUGUGUAGCGGUGAAAUGCUUAGAUAUAACACAGAACUCCGAUUGCGAAGGCAGCUUACUGGGAUGCAACUGACACUGAUGCACGAAAGCGUGGGUAUCAAACAGGAUUAGAUACCCCUGUAGUCC
rnacentral:rRNA from 1 species